rnacentral:rRNA from 1 species
GACGAAGGGGGCUAGCGUUGUUCGGAAUUACUGGGCGUAAAGCGUGCGCAGGCGGCUUUGCAAGACAGAUGUGAAAUCCCCGGGCUUAACCUGGGAACUGCAUUUGUGACUGCAUGGCUGGAGUGCGGCAGAGGGGGAUGGAAUUCCGCGUGUAGCAGUGAAAUGCGUAGAUAUGCGGAGGAACACCGAUGGCGAAGGCAAUCCCCUGGGCCUGCACUGACGCUCAUGCACGAAAGCGUGGGGAGCAAACAAGGAUU